GUGUAUAUCACUAAAAUAGAACAAGAACUGACAUGUCAAAUUGUCUACAGACAUUAUAGAAAGGAAAGUGGAAAUAGUUAUAAGAAGUCUAAAAAAGAAGGGUGCUAUGAAAAAAAAGUGAAAGUUUCAAGCUGUUGUGCUAGCAAUGUAGAAUACUAGAAUUAGUCUUCUUUGUGAUCGUUUCUUUUUUUUUUAAAAAAAGAUAGACAUGCUCUUGAGUAUUUGAUGUACUAAUUACUGUCAUUUUAGUCAGUAUGCUAGUGAAUAAAGAUAAAAAAUUACUCAUA